rnacentral:rRNA from 1 species
UGGGGAAUUUUUGACAAUGGGGGAAACCCUGAUCCAGCCAUCCCGCGUGUGCGAUGAAGGCCUUCGGGUUGUAAAGCACUUUUGGCAGGAAAGAAACGUCAUGGGUUAAUACCCCGUGAAACUGACGGUACCUGCAGAAUAAGCACCGGCUAACUACGUGCCAGCAGCCGCGGUAAUACGUAGGGUGCAAGCGUUAAUCGGAAUUACUGGGCGUAAAGCGUGCGCAGGCGGUUCGGAAAGAAAGAUGUGAAAUCCCAGAGCUCAACUUUGGAACUGCAUUUUUAACUACCGGGCUAGAGUGUGUCAGAGGGAGGUGGAAUUCCGCGUGUAGCAGUGAAAUGCGUAGAUAUGCGGAGGAACACCGAUGGCGAAGGCAGCCUCCUGGGAUAACACUGACGCUCAUGAACGAAAGCGUGGGGAGCAAACAGG